ensembl:lncRNA
UAGAUAAGCAGGUAGGCUGCACUAUCCAGCGUACAUCUAGAUGGUGCACCCCACAUGUGACGUCACCUAAAUACAGCAAAAGGCAGAUUGCACAGGAAAAACUGCUUGUAAUGGCUAAUCCCACUCACAGCUGGUGGCAUUAUAUCCCCCCUUUGACACAUCAGAUCCAUAGAAUCCUCAUUGUCACCGUCUUCAGCGGUGCAAUGCCCUCAAAUGAACCAGAAGCUCCCAGGCUCUCCUCCCCCGACUGAUCAAGCUCAUCAUUGCUGUGGGCAGCAUUGGGCCGAACGGGCCGAAUACUGGAUGCAUGAAGUUCUACUGGACAAGUCACAUGAUUUCACAGCCUGUUUCAAGGAAGACAUGGGAGGAGGGUAUUGACCCAGCGACACCACCGCCACCGUCUAGAGAGACCAGAGACCACCGCCAACGUCCAGAGAGAGACCAGACACUACUGCGACUGCCCAAAGACACCAGUGACUCUACCGCCACCAUCCAGAGAGAGACAAGAGACCACCGCCACCGUCCAGAGAAAAAAUAGAGACACCUCCGCUGCCGUCUAGAGAGAUCACCGCAACCUUCCAGAGACACCACCGCGACCGUCCAGAGACCAGUAACACCACCGCCACCGUCCAGAGAGACCAGA